CAGCGUCUGUGAUGUUCCUUGACUACCUACAUUGUUUGAUCCUCAUGAGAACAGCACUGGCUGAGACGCCG
ensembl:snoRNA SNORD34 Small nucleolar RNA SNORD34